GUCUACGGCCAUACCUAGGCGAAAACACCAAUUCCCGUCCGAUCACUGCAGUUAAGCGUCUGAGGGCCUCGUUAGUACUAUGGUUGGAGACAACAUGGGAAUCCGAGGUGCUGUAGGCU
rfam:Schizosaccharomyces cryophilus OY26 unplaced genomic scaffold supercont4.2, whole genome shotgun sequence.